rnacentral:rRNA from 1 species
AACGAACGCUGGCGGCAUGCCUAACACAUGCAAGUCGAACGAGACCUUCGGGUCUAGUGGCGCACGGGUGCGUAACGCGUGGGAACCUGCCCUUAGGUUCGGAAUAACUCCCCGAAAGGGGUGCUAAUACCGGAUAAUUUCUUCGGACCAAAGAUUUAUCGCCUUUGGAUGGGCCCGCGUUGGAUUAGCUAGUUGGUAGGGUAAAAGCCUACCAAGGCGACGAUCCAUAGCUGGUCUGAGAGGAUGAUCAGCCACACUGGGACUGAGACACGGCCCAGACUACUACGGGAGGCAGCAGUGGGGAAUAUUGGACAAUGGGCGAAAGCAUGAUCCGGCAAUGCCGCGUGAGUGAUGAAGGCCUUAGGGUUGUAAAGCUCUUUUACCCGGGAUGAUAAUGACAGUACCGGGAGAAUAAGCUCCGGCUAACUCCGUG